UUUGAUCCUGGCUCAGAACGAACGUUGGCGGCGUGGAUGAGGCAUGCAAGUCGAACGCGAAAGCCUUCGGGCAAGUAGCGUGGCGGACGGGUGAGUAACACGUAAUCAAGCUACCUGCCAGACGGGGAUAACAUCGGGAAACCGGUGCUAAGACCCGAUGGUCUCACGUGAUCGCAUGAUCGUGUGGGUAAAU
rnacentral:rRNA from 1 species